rnacentral:rRNA from 1 species
CUAUGCGCCUUGCCAGCCCGCUCAGGUGUGCCAGCCGCCGCGGUAAUACGUAGGUCCCGAGCGUUGUCCGGAUUUAUUGGGCGUAAAGCGAGCGCAGGUGGUUUAUUAAGUCUGGUGUAAAAGGCAGUGGCUCAACCCAUUGUAUGCAUUGGAAACUGGUAGACUUGAGUGCAGGAGAGGAGAGUGGAAUUCCAUGUGUAGCGGUGAAAUGCGUAGAUAUAUGGAGGAACACCGGUGGCGAAAGCGGCUCUCUGGCCUGUAACUGACACUGAGGCUCGAAAGCGUGGGGAGCAAACAGG